rnacentral:misc_RNA from 1 species
GAUGAAGAACGCAGCGAAAUGCGAUAAGUAGUGUGAAUUGCAGAAUUCCGUGAAUCAUCGAAUCUUUGAACGCACAUUGCGCCUUCUGGUAUUCCGGAAGGCAUGCCUGUUCGAGAGUCAUUAACAACCGUUUCGAUCCCUUUCUUUCAGAAAUUACAAAGAGGAAAAGGGUUUGGUUAUGGUGGAGGAGGGAAAGGGAGCGUUUAGCCUGUAAAAAAAGAGGAUGUGUUCCGCCUCCCCCCCAAAAUUGUACAGGCGGUCGUGUGCGCCCACGCAUCGAGGUGUUGUAAAAGCUGCCACGGCACUUUUCACCUGUGCAGUGCGAGAUUGGCCAGCCGGUUUAAAAACCCCUCCAAACAAUCAAAGGUUGACCUCGGAUCAGGUAGGGAUACCCGCUGAACUUAAGCAUAUCAAUAAGCGGAGGA